GGGGAGUCUGCCCGAUAGAGGGGGAUAACUACUGGAAACGGUGGCUAAUACCGCAUAAUGUCUACGGACCAAAGCAGGGGCUCUUCGGACCUUGCACUAUCGGAUGAACCCAUAUGGGAUUAGCUAGUAGGUGGGGUAAAGGCUCACCUAGGCGACGAUCUCUAGCUGGUCUGAGAGGAUGAUCAGCCACACUGGGACUGAGACACGGCCCAG
rnacentral:rRNA from 1 species